rnacentral:rRNA from 1 species
UUCGGUCCGCUGACGAGUGGCGAACGGGUGAGUAACACGUGGAGACCUGCCCUAGGGUACGGGACAACAGUUAGAAAUGACUGCUAAUACCGUAUACGUCCUACGGGAGAAAGAUUUAUUGCCCUUGGAGGGGUCCGCGUUGGAUUAGCUAGUUGGUGAGGUAAUGGCUCACCAAGGCUGCGAUCCAUAGCUGGUCUUAGAGGACGAUCAGCCACACUGGGACUGAGACACGGCCCAGACUCCUACGGGAGGCAGCAGUGGGGAAUAUUGCGCAAUGGGGGCAACCCUGACGCAGCGAUGCCGCGUGAGUGAAGAAGGCCUUCGGGUUGUAAAGCUCUUUCAGUAGGGAAGAUUGUGACGGUACCUACAGAAGAAGCUCCGGCUAACUCCGUGCCAGCAGCCGCGGUAAUACGGAGGGGGCGAGCGUUGUUCGGAAUUAUUGGGCGUAAAGAGCAUGUAGGCGGUUUGAUAAG